GCAUAACGCGAAGAACCUUACCAGGACUUGACAUCCCUCUGACAGUCCCUUAACCGGGAUCUCCCUUCGGGGCAGAGGAGACAGGUGGUGCAUGGUUGUCGUCAGCUCGUGUCGUGAGAUGUUGGGUUAAGUCCCGCAACGAGCGCAACCCUUGUCAUUAGUUGCCAGCAGUUCGGCUGGGCACUCUAGUGAGACUGCCGGGGAUAACUCGGAGGAAGGUGGGGAUGACGUCAAAUCAUCAUGCCCCUUAUGUUCUGGGCUACACACGUGCUACAAUGGCUGGUACAAAGAGAAGCGAGACGGUGACGUGGAGCAAAUCUCAAAAACCAGUCCCAGUUCGGAUUGUAGGCUGCAACUCGCCUACAUGAAGUCGGAGUUGCUAGUAAUCGCGAAUCAGAAUGUCGCGGUGAAUGCGUUCCCGGGUCUUGUACACACCG
rnacentral:rRNA from 1 species